rnacentral:lncRNA from 1 species
UAUGGAACGAAAAUCUUAAGCCAGACAAUGUUGGUGAUAUAGCGUCAGUUUCAAGUAGCACUCAAAAUGAAUGUUGUCAAUAUUGCCUCAACAGCUUUAAUGACACCUUGGCUGCUUUUUUUAUUGAUUCAGUCUGUACAUGUUUGAAAAUAUUUCAUAAAACAGUACCAUUUACUGGAAGCUAUUAUACAUAUAUAACAAGAGAUCCUUUAACAUUUAACCAAUCAAAUUAUGAAUGUGGUCGUCGUGGUACCUUCAAGUUAUUAACUUUUUACUUUGUUACAAGCCAGAGUGAAUUAUCUUAUGUGCAAUUUAUAAACAUGGAUAUAAGUUUAAAUUUUUCAACUUCAGUCUUAAUGUUGACACCAGAUAGCAACAAAAUAAAUUAUGAUUAUACUACUGUUGGAUUUGCUAUUGCAGCAACUGGCUAUAGUUCUGCUAAUUUCUUUCAAAAUUUAACUUAUACAUUUUUGGUUGGCUUUGUGAACGAAACAACUCAGUUUGCAAUAUCACAUACACGUAUAGCUAAUAGUCCAUUAAGACUUAUCGUCUAUCUUAAACCCUUUAAUAUUUAAUGUUUUGACAAAUGUAAAGAAUAGUAAAGCUGCUUCUUAUGUUUUUGAUGCUGCUUCAUAUAAUGCAAUAAAUAGAAAUGCUUUUAUGGCCCUAAUUACCAUCACAAAUAAUGAUAUUGCUUCAACAGCAGAUUCAGGAAAUGUUACUUAUGUAAUUUACUUUAAUGAAAGAUUAAUGAGGUACAAAGAACAUACAUUUUUUGCAAGUGGAUUUGCGACUAGAUUGAGAGCUCAAUCAUUUGUUGAAGGAAAUAAAUUUAAAAUUUUUAUCCCAAGAUUACGAAUUGGUGUACACUUUCAGAUGAAUGUUUAUUUUUAUUCUUUAAUGAAAGACCAACAAAAGUUUGAAUCUUUAUAUCAUGAAAUAUCAGCUAUAACCUAUAAGAAUGGAAAACCUGUUCAAACAUUAGUACAAUACAAUAAGCUGUAUUCAGAUGCUGUAGUGCAGA